ACCUCGGAUCAGGUAGGGAUACCCGCUGAACUUAAGCAUAUCAAUAAGCGGAGGAAAAGAAACCAACAGGGAUUGCCUCAGUAACGGCGAGUGAAGCGGCAACAGCUCAAAUUUGAAAUCUGGCCUCUUUGGGGUCCGAGUUGUAAUUUGUAGAGGAUGUUUCGGGUACCGCCUCGGUUUAAAUUUCUUGGAACAGAAUGUCAAAGAGGGUGAGAAUCCCGUCUUGGACCGGCGGUAGGGCCCAUGUGAAACUCCUUCGACGAGUCGAGUUGUUUGGGAAUGCAGCUCAAAAUGGGUGGUAAAUUUCAUCUAAAGCUAAAUAUUGGCCAGAGANCGAUAGCGCACAAGUAGAGUGAUCGAAAGAUGAAAAGCACUUUGAAAAGAGAGUUAAACAGUAUGUGAAAUUGUUGAAAGGGAAGCGCUUACA
rnacentral:rRNA from 1 species